rnacentral:rRNA from 1 species
AAACCAGCACCUCAAGUGGUCAGGAUGAUUAUUGGGCCUAAAGCAUCCGUAGCCGGCUCUGUAAGUUUUCGGUUAAAUCUGUACGCUCAACGUACAGGCUGCCGGGAAUACUGCACAGCUAGGGAGUGGGAGAGGUAGACGGUACUCGGUAGGUAGGGGUAAAAUCCUUUGAUCUAUUGAUGACCACCUGUGGCGAAGGCGGUCUACCAGAACACGUUCGACGGUGAGGGAUGAAAGCUGGGGGAGCAAACCGGAUUAGAAACCCCAGUAGUCC